UACGAAGGGGGCUAGCGUUGUUCGGAAUUACUGGGCGUAAAGCGCACGUAGGCGGAUAUUUAAGUCAGGGGUGAAAUCCCAGAGCUCAACUCUGGAACUGCCUUUGAUACUGGGUAUCUUGAGUAUGGAAGAGGUAAGUGGAAUUGCGAGUGUAGAGGUGAAAUUCGUAGAUAUUCGCAGGAACACCAGUGGCGAAGGCGGCUUACUGGUCCAUUACUGACGCUGAGGUGCGAAAGCGUGGGAG
rnacentral:rRNA from 1 species